UACGGGGGGGGCAAGCGUUGUUCGGAAUUACUGGGCGUAAAGGGCUCGUAGGCGGCCAACUAAGUCAGACGUGAAAUCCCUCGGCUUAACCGGGGAACUGCGUCUGAUACUGGAUGGCUAGAGUUUGGGAGAGGGAUGCGGAAUUCCAGGUGUAGCGGUGAAAUGCGUAGAUAUCUGGAGGAACACCAAUGGCGAAGGCAGCUCUCUGGGACGGUACUGACGCUGAGACGCGAAAGCGUGGGGAGCGAACAGG
rnacentral:rRNA from 1 species